AGUCAGUUCUCAAAGUAGAUGUGUUGGAAGCAGGAAAAAUGGGCAAGUAAAAGCAUCUGAGUGACUUUGACAAAGGCCAAAUUGUGAUGGCUAGACGACUGGGUCAGAGCAUCUCCAAAACGGCAGGUCUUGUGGGGUGUUCCCGGUAUGUAGUGGUUAGUACCUCCCAAAAGUGGUCCAAGGAAGGACAACCGGUGAACUGGCGACAGGGUCAUGGGCGCCCAAGAUUCACUGAUGUGUGAAAGCUUGCCCAUCUAGUCCGAUCCCACAGAAGAGCUACUGUAGCACAAACUGCUGAAAAAAAUUGGCUGAAAAUGCUGGCUAUGAUGGAAAUGUGUCAGAACACACAGUGCAUCGCAGUUUGCUGCGUAUGGGGCUGUGUAUCUGCAGACCAGUCAGAGUUCCCAUACUGACCACUGUCCACUGCUGAAAGCUCCUACAAUGCGUGCCUGAGCAUCAGAACUGAUGAAAUCUUCCUUUAAUUGCAUAAAAUUGUAUUAAAACUAUGGGCAUUAAUAUGGUGUUGGUCCCCACUUGUUGCUGUAACAGUCUCCACUCUUCUGAGAAGGCUUUCCAUUCGAUUUUUGGAACAUGGCUGUGGGAAUUUGUUCUGUGCAAGCUACUCGAGUUCUUCCACACCAAACUUGGUAAACCUGUCUUUAUGGAUCGUACUUUGUGCACAGGGGCAUUGUCAUGCUGGAACAGGUUUGGGCUGGGCCACUUAGUUCCAGUGAAAGGAAAUCUUAAUGCUUCAGAAUACAAAGACAUUCUAAGCAGUUGUGUUUUCAAGUUUGUAGCAACAGUUUGGGGACCUUCAAAUGGGUGUUACAGUCAGGUGUCAAUACACUUUUGGCCAUAUAGUGUUGUUGGUACAAUUAAAGCCUACAUUUAAACUAAAUUAAGUUUUUUUUUUAAUUAAUUUGUUUUUUUAAAAUAUGUAUGUGACAUGAUGCUAUGUGACAAAAUGUGCAGUGGAGUGUUAAUGUGGUAGUGAAAAAAUAAACAAGAAAAGAAAUGAAAGAAGACAAUCAGAUCUGUGUCCAUCUUUGAUGGUAGCAGAAUAGCAGAAACAUUCUGAGACUUGCUUCCACUAUGCAGGGAAGAUUUAUUUUUAUUUUAUUUAUUAAAGUAUUUACAAAGCUCUGCAUAUUUCUGUCAUUUAGGUGUAGACUAUUUUGAAAGUCUGCAUGAACAUCAUUAAUAAUUCAUGUGAACUGAUGAUAUUGGUCCCUUAAUUAGACAUAAAUUACUAUGCUACUACAGCAUUAGGGCAUGCAUUAGACAUGCUUAUCUUAUCCAUAUUCAUUACACUUCAUGCUGCAUUAAAUGCAUAAAUUAAUGAUUGCUUAUGUAUGUAAUCAUGCACAAAUUAAUGUUAUUUCAUGAACCCAUUUUGUAAUUUCAUGAACCCAUUUUCCAAUAUCAGCUUUAUUGUCAUUGGGCUUGCUACUCUUUAAAUAUCAGUGUCAACAUAUGCCUUUAAAAAGUCCAAAUAUGUCAAAUAUGGCAUUCUGACUGCAGUACCUUCAGUUCCCAUACAGUUUUUUGAUUGUUAUUUAAAUGCUUAAUGUCCUUCGGAGGGGCAGGUCAUGGAUAAGCAGGCUUAAUAUUCUCAAUCACUGCCAACACGUGGCCACUGUCACGUAGUAUAGUCACUACAAAAUGCUGCAUCAGCAGUGAUUCUCACUUUUAAUCUUUCUCUUUGGUCAGCAGCACCCAGAGGGAGUGGAAGUAACCAAGCUCUAAAUUCUGCCAACCCACUCCAUCCAAUCAUGCCUGUCCUUUGCCUCAGUCCUCCUUCACAGACCAACUGCUCUUUGCCACACACACACACACACACACACAUUUCAGUUUCCCAUGUUUGAUCCAGUUUUCUUUACAUUGCUUUGUUUGCUCGAUCAACUGACUCUGUCUUACAAUUUCAAUUUUUAUUAAAGAAGUUAUAAUCACCCUUACAUCCACCUGCCUUGGAAUUCCUGACAGAAACCCUUGGCAGGAAAAUGGAUGUUUGAGUGUUCUGGAUUCAGAGUGAAGACUUCAUGAGGCUGUUACCAACCAGGGAAGGAUGUUGCGUGAUCACCAACAGGAAUUGAAGGCAAGGAAGAAGACUGGGCCUGUGCAGCUACUGUGAAGAACCUGAUCAGAGUUUGGAGAGAUGCCCUCAUUUCCCCAUAUCUCAGAAACUUAAUCACACAUAGACCAAGACUUUGCAGCAUCAAACUUCCUGGCAGCACAUCUGGUUAAUCAACUACAGGUACCCACAGACCCUCUCAAAACAUUUAUCGUGGUACAAGCCAUAGAUGGGAAACCUAUCAGUAUGGGUUCUAUCUCACACAUCAUUGACCCCAUUAGUAUGAUCAUAGGUGCCAUUCACCAUGAGAGGGCUCCCUUCCUCAUCAAAACAUCAACGUCAUAUCAAGUAGUUCUUGGGUAACCUUAGUAAUAGUUACAGCUUCACAACCCCACAAUAGACUGGCAGUUAAGACAGAUCCUCCCUUGUAGGGAAAAUUGUCUUAAGCUGCCAUGCAAAUUUUCAUCCUGCUCCACGUUCAUACAGAUUCCCAAAUUUAUGGUAGAGGCAGAUCACUUCUGUUAUUCAGACCUCCGAUAAGUCUUACGCACCACACAACCUCAGAAUCAUAUCUGUCCUCUAUCGUGAAAAUAGGUGGGAAAUAGUAGGAAAUAUUUAGAGAAGGCACUUCAACAAACCUUCAUUCGUCCCUCCACAUCACCAGCUUUUAUUUUUCAAGAAAAACUGUAAUUUUUCAACAAAAAACAAGGGGUCUGUAUUGUUGCACAGAUUAUAAGGGUUUGAACAAGAUCAUGGUGACAUAACAGUACGCACUCCCCUUGGUGCUAUCUAAAUGUGCAGAACUCAUAUGCAUUAAUACCUUACAGGGGACAGACCCUUCUUUAAAUUGGGGUGAUAUAGCAUAUAGAAGGGAGGUGGCUGAUCUGGUGGUGUUGUUCCAGAACAAUAAUCUCUCCUUAAAUGCCAGCAAACCCAAGGAGAUGAUUCUCAACCUAUGAAAGAGGAGGGAACAGCACAUACCACUGCACAUAGAUGAGGCAGAGGUGGAGAGGGUGAAAUUCCUUGAUGCUCAUAUCAGCGAAGAUCUCGCCUAGUCCACAGCACAAACCAUCUAAUAAGGAAAUUCCAGCAGCAUCUGAGGAUUCUUCCUGAGGAUUCUAAAGAAAUUUGGCACUUCUACAGGGGUAUCUUUGAGAGCAGUCUCACCAGUAGCAUCACAGUCUGGUUUGGAUUCUGCUCUACUCAGGACCAUAAGGCUCUUUAGCAAAUGGUUAGAACUACUCAAACCAUCAGAGGAGCAGCCUACCCAUCACUGAAGGACAUUUACCAGGUCACCAGGAGAGUCCACAAUAUCAUCAUGGAGAUAACCCACCUCAAACACAGCCUGUUUACACUCCUACCAUCAGGUAGACACUAUGAACACUCUUGACUAUGGACACUCGACUUCAAAAGGAACAGUUUUUAUCUGCAGGCCAUCAGGCUUGUCAAUAACUCUCACCCACUGCUGCUCCCACCAGCACAUAUAACUGACACUAUCCAUUGAGGGGCUGGGCUUAAUGCCCUAGACACACAUACUCACACAUGCACACUGCUACUAGCAAACUUUGCAAUAUUGAACAUUUUUGCACAAUUCAAUUGUGAUGAGGAGGAGGGAGAGGCCAGGCUGUGAGGACACACACCUGACUCUGAGUUGGCUAAUCAGUGGGAGAGAGGGAUAAAGGAGCAGCUGGAGAGAGAGGGGGAGAGAGAGAUGCGUGUUUUGUGUUUCCCGUUAUGUUUAUGUGAUGUUUAUGAUUAAACGUUACGUUUAAGUUCCCGGUUCCCGCCUCCUCCUUGCUGUCUUUGAUGUUUUGUUACAGCAAUUUUUGAGCAUUGCCUCUUGCACAUAAGGACAAAACCUUGCACAUGUAACCCAGUUGCAACAGCAGUGUGUUUCUUUGCAAAUCCAACAAGGUUUAUUAGACAAUAUUAAAGGUUUAAAGAUGAAAAGAAACAAAAUCAACAAAACAAAAAUAAUUGUGACUGCAGCAGACUACAGGGCUCCCUUAUCACACGCACUGACCAAAGUUUCCUCAGAGAAGUGCACACUCAAUUAAGCAUCAAGGGGAAAACUCACCGCAAACCCAAAGCAAAGUGAUCACUCAAAUAAACCAUUACAAAUUAUCCCCCACCUCACCAAAGCCAGUUAUCACCUGUAAGUCGGAAACAAACCGACACUGCCACCCAACACUUCAGUACAAAAGAUCCAAACUCACAUUCAAGUCAUCUCUUAUAACAACCCAGUAAGCCACCAAAGUUCUCAAUAACAGUAAAUGGCAAUCGUAUCAUCUGUGCUAUUAAAUAAAUCUGCUUAAUUCUUUGAGGCACCAAUCAACAUUUUUCCUGUGAAAACACUCCCAAAUUCAAUUCUGUACACAAAACUAAUCUUCUCUUCUGCUAUUACACAGCCUUGAAAACAGCCCACAGCUUCUCCCACACGGCACAUGGCACCACAAAGAGGAUGCCCAACUAAUUAUAUUUCCUCUUUAUAGUGCCUGGGCUAAUGGGGAUUGCAGUCCAAAAUAAUUUGUAGUUCUAAACCCAGAGAAAAUGUAUUCCCUUCCUUCUCUACCUCAUUACACACAUAAGAACAAAACAUCUUGAAUCUCUAGUUAUAUAAUUGCACUAUAUUUAUAUUUAUACAAUGACACCUAAUGUAUGUUUUAUUGUACAAGUGCCAUUGUCUUUACUAUUGCACUACAGCCUACCUACCACACAUUAGUACUUGUAUAUUUCAUAUUAUACUUGUAAUAUGUAUAUCACACUCCACCUGUACACUUCACCCCACAGUGCAAUUUCCAACCAUUU